GACGAACGCUGGCGGCGUGCUUAACACAUGCAAGUCGAACGAAAAGACCCUGCUUUUGUGUGUUUCUCGUUUGGCGAACGGGUGAGUAACACGUGUGUAACCUGCCCUUGACUUUGGGAUAACUUCAGGAAACUGGGGCGAAUACCGCAUAGGAUCUCCUGCUGCAUGUGGGUGGUUGGAAAGUUUCGGCGGUGGGGGAUGGACUCGCGGCUUAUGAGCUUCUUGGUGGGGUAGUUGCUUACCACGCCUUUGACGGGUAGGCGGCCUGAGAGGGUGACCGGCCACAUUGGGACUGAGAUACGCAGCAGAAUCGUAUCGGCCGCAGCAGUCGAGAAUCUUGCAGAGUGGCGGGAAGCCUGAUGCAGAAAUGCUGGGUGCGGGAUACCGGCCUUCGGGUUGUAAACAGAUUUCGAAUGUGAUGAAGAGUGAGUGACGGUAAUGGGUAAAGAAGCCACGGCUAACUACGUG
rnacentral:rRNA from 1 species